UGGGGAAUUUUGGACAAUGGGCGAAAGCCUGAUCCAGCAAUGCCGCGUGUGUGAAGAAGGCCUUCGGGUUGUAAAGCACUUUUGUCCGGAAAGAAAUGGCUCUGGUUAAUACCUGGGGUCGAUGACGGUACCGGAAGAAUAAGGAACGGCUAACUACGUGCCAGCAGCCGCGGUAAUACGUAGGGUCCAAGCGUUAAUCGGAAUUACUGGGCGUAAAGCGUGCGCAGGCGGUUGUGCAAGACCGAUGUGAAAUCCCCGAGCUUAACUUGGGAAUUGCAUUGGUGACUGCACGGCUAGAGUGUGUCAGAGGGGGGUAGAAUUCCACGUGUAGCAGUGAAAUGCGUAGAGAUGUGGAGGAAUACCGAUGGCGAAGGCAGCCCCCUGGGAUAACACUGACGCUCAUGCACGAAAGCGUGGGGAGCAAACAGG
rnacentral:rRNA from 1 species